rnacentral:rRNA from 1 species
GUGGAAGUAAAAGUCGUAACAAGGUUUCCGUAGGUGAAGAACCUGCGGAAGGAUCA